rnacentral:rRNA from 1 species
UACGUAGGGUCCGAGCGUUGUCCGGAAUUAUUGGGCGUAAAGGGCUCGUAGGUGGUUUGUCGCGUCGGGCGUGAAAUCCCUGGGCUUAACCCAGGGCCUGCUUUCGAUACGGGCAGACUAGAGGCAUUCAGGGGAGAACGGAAUUCCUGGUGUAGCGGUGAAAUGCGCAGAUAUCAGGAGGAACACCGGUGGCGAAGGCGGUUCUCUGGGAAUGUUCUGACGCUGAGGAGCGAAAGUGUGGGGAGCGAACAGG